UUAUGAGGUGCUGGUACUUUUUUCUCUUUCUCUCUCUCUCUCUCUCCCUUAAACUGUCUGUGUCGGUCGCGUAAAACUUUCUAUUGGUCUGCUUUUGUCUGGUGCGUUCAGGGAACAACAAAGAACAAACAAACAAACAAACAAGACAACAAGCCUAGGAAAUACUAGAAAUAAAAAAUGAAUAAAGUUGAAGUCAGACAACUUUGGGAGAUAUGAAGACAGAUGGACACUUUGGAGGUAAACACACCUAAGAGAGAAAAGGAGGUCCAAGAACUCUGCAAGAAGCGUGAAGGGCCUUCAAAUAUAGAGGCCUGGACAAGUUUGAGCUGCCUUCCUGUCUGUGGGGACACCUGUUGGUGCAGAGCAGCUCGGAGAAAAAAAAAAAAGCCCAAGUUUGUCCCAUCUGACUGGCCUCCUUCACCAC